rnacentral:piRNA from 1 species
UCCACGCGGUAAUUUCAUUUU